GAAUUUUGCGCGCGGAGCGUAAUUUUUCUUUGUCUUUUCUAAUUAGUUUCACCCCGAGAAAUCAGAAGACAAAGAAAAAUUCCGCUCCGCGCGCAAAAUCCCGCCUAAU
rnacentral:miRNA from 1 species